UGGCUGGUAGCUUAACCGGAUAAAGCUCCAUACUACGAAUAUGGAAGAUGCGGGUUCGAAUCCCGCCCAGCCAUC
rnacentral:tRNA from 1 species